CCCAGCUUUAGGCUAUUGGAACAGACAUUUAUGCUGUCACUGGACAGGGUUUGAACCCGCGCAUGCAUCUCUACUUUCAGUGACUGUGACUGGUCCUGCACUAUAGGCGUAUUUGACAUGGACUUUCGAGGGUUUCCAAGAAAAGGGUUUGAAUUUUCACACAUAACUUGAGCAGGGUUUGAACCGGGGUUGCCUGGAUGAAUGCCAGUGUGUAUAUCUCUACACCAACAGGGGCUGUGACUUGUCAUGCACUAUAGGCAUAUAUGACAUGCACUUUCGAGGGUUUCCAGGAAAAAGUAAGCACUCUAUUUUCGCACAUAAGUGAGCAGGGUU